GUGGGGAAUCUUCCGCAAUGGACGAAAGUCUGACGGAGCGACGCCGCGUGAGUGAAGAAGGCCUUCGGGUCGUAAAGCUCUGUCAUCAGGGACGAACGGCCGGUGGAGUGGAAAGCCACCGGAUUGACGGUACCUGAGAAGGAAGCCACGGCUAACUACGUGCCAGCAGCCGCGGUAAUACGUAGGUGGCAAGCGUUGUCCGGAAUUAUUGGGCGUAAAGCGCGCGCAGGUGGGAUCUUAAGUCCAUUUUUAAAGUGCGGAGCUCAACUCCGUGAUGGGAUAGAAACUGGGAUUCUUGAGUACCGGAGAGGAAAGCGGAAUUCCCCGUGUAGCGGUGAAAUGCGUAGAUAUGGGGAGGAACACCAGUGGCGAAGGCGUCUUUCUGGACGGUGUCUGACACUGAGGCGCGAAAGCCAGGGGAGCGAACGGGAUUAGAAACCCGAGUAGUCC
rnacentral:rRNA from 1 species